AGGGCGCAUGGCGGAUGCCUUGGCUCUCGGAGGCGAUGAAGGACGUGAUAAGCUGCGAUAAGCUUUGGGGAGGUGCAAAUGACCUUUGAUCCAGAGAUUUCCGAAUGGGACAACCCAAUAUCUUGAAGAGGUAUUAUCCAACGUUGUUGGAGGCUAACGCAGGGAACUGAAACAUCUUAGUACCUGCAGGAAAAGAAAAUAAACAAUGAUUCCCCCAGUAGUGGCGAGCGAACGGGGAACAGCCCAAACCAUCCAUGUUACGGCAUGGGUGGGGUUGUAGGACUACGCCGUUGCAUGAAGACAUCAGAGAAGAACUUUCUGGAAAGAAAGACCAUAGAGCAUGACAGUUGCGUAUUCGAAUGUUGUCGAAGCAUAGUAGUAUCCUGAGUAGCGCGGAGCACGAGGAAUUCUGCGUGAAUCUGCCGGGACCAUCCGGUAAGGCUAAAUACUCCCGAGAGACCGAUAGCGAACCAGUACCGUGAGGGAAAGGUGAAAAGCACUUCGAACAGAAGAGUGAAAUAGUUCCUGAAACCGUGCGCCUACAAGCGGUCGGAGCUCGUUAAUGAGUGACGGCGUGCCUUUUGCAUAAUGAACCUACGAGUUGCCUUUGCCGGCAAGGUUAAGUGUGACGACACACGUAUCCGAAGCGAAAGCGAGUCUGAACAGGGCGUAUAGUCGGCAGUGGCAGACGCGAAACCAAGUGAUCUACCCUUGGCCAGGUUGAAGGCUGGGUAACACCAGCUGGAGGACCGCACCAAUAAGCGUUGAAAAGCUUCUGGAUGAGCUGAGGGUAGGGGUGAAAGGCUAAUCAAACUUGGAGAUAGCUCGUACUCCCCGAAAUGCAUUUAGGUGCAGCCUUGCGGGUUACUGAUGUGAGGUAGAGCGACUGAUAAGAUGCGAGGGCUUCACCGCCUAUCAAGUCUUGACAAACUCCGAAUGCGCAUCAGUUCUACCGCAGGAGUGAGGGCAUGGGUGCUAAGGUCCGUGCCCGAGAGGAGAAGAAUCCGGACCACCUGCUAAGGUCCCGAAAUGACAGCUAAGUUAAACUAACGAAGUCUGACUGCUAAGACAGCUAGGAUGUUGGCUUGGAAGCAGCCAUUCAUUUAAAGAGUGCGUAACAGCUCACUAGUCGAGGAGUCGGGCGUGGAUAAUAAUCGGGUAUUAAGUUGUCUACCGAAGCAGUGGGAUCAUUAAUAUGAUCGGUAGGGGAGCAUUCCAGUCAGCGUCGAAGGCGUACCGUGAGGGAUUCUGGAGCGUCUGGAAAAGCAAAUGUAGGUAUAAGUAACGAUAAAGGGGGCGGGAAACCCCCUCGCCGAAAGACUAAGGUUUCCUGAUCAACGCUAAUCGGAUCAGGGUCAGUCGGGUCCUAAGGCUCAGCCGAACGGCGAUGCCGAUGGCAGAAACGGUUAAUAUUCCGUUACUACCUUCAGGAGUGACGUGGAGACGCAGUAGUGACAGUGCCGCCAUCUGACGGAAUAGAUGGUUGAAGGGUGUAGGAGUCGAUCAUGGCAGGCAAAUCCACCAUGAGAUCCGAACCUGACAGUAUGCCGCGUCCUUCGGGACAAGGCAAUAGUGCGCGUAAGCAUGCUGCCGAGAAAAUCCGCUAAACUUAAUCCUGCAGGUACCCGUACCGCAAACGGACACACGUAGUCGGGAUGAAUAUUCUAAGGCGCUUGAGUGAUUCACGGUUAAGGAACUAGGCAAACUGACCCUGUAACUUCGGGAUAAAGGGUCCCUACCCUUUUAUGGGAGGGCGCAGAGAAUCGGUCCAGGCAACUGUUUAACAAAAACACAGGGCUGUGCCAAAUCGAAAGAUCCAGUAUACAGCCUGACACCUGCCCGGUGCUGGAAGGUUAAGAGGAGAUGUCAUAGAUAAGAGAAGCGUUGAAUUGAAGCCCCAGUAAACGGCGGCCGUAACUAUAACGGUCCUAAGGUAGCGAAAUUCCUUGUCGGGUAAGUUCCGACCUGCACGAAUGGUGUAAUGAUCUGGACGCUGUCUCAACCGUGAGCUCAGUGAAAUUGUAGUAUCGGUGAAGAUGCCGAUUACCCGCGAUGGGACGAAAAGACCCCGUGAACCUUUACUAUAGCUUAUCAUUGAAUCUGGGCACGUGAUGUGUAGGAUAGGUCGGAGGCUUUGAAGCAGGUACGCCAGUAUUUGUGGAGCCGCUGUUGAAAUACGACCCUUUAUUUGUUUGGAUUCUAACCCGUGGAACGGGGACAUUGAUUGGUGGGUAGUUUGACUGGGGUGGUCGCCUCCAAAAGCGUAACGGAGGCUUCUAAAGGUGCCCUCCGGCCGAUUGGUAACCGGCCUUAGAGUGUAAUGGCAUAAGGGCGCUUGACUGGGAGACUGACAAGUCGAUCAGGUAGGAAACUAGAGCAUAGUGAUCCGGUGUUUCCGUAUGGAAGGGACAUCGCUCAAAGGAUAAAAGGUACUCCGGGGAUAACAGGCUGAUCCCUCCCAAGAGCUCAUAUCGACGGAGUGGUUUGGCACCUCGAUGUCGGCUCGUCACAUCCUGGGGCUGGAGAAGGUCCCAAGGGUUGGGCUGUUCGCCCAUUAAAGUGGCACGCGAGCUGGGUUCAGAACGUCGUGAGACAGUUCGGUCUCUAUCUAUCGUGGGCGUAUGAAAUUUGCGUGGCUCUGACACUAGUACGAGAGGACCGUGUUGGACAGACCUCUGGUUUGCCGGUUGUGCCGCCAGGUGCAUUGCCGGGUAUCUAAGUCUGGAUCGGAUAAGUGCUGAAAGCAUCUAAGUACGAAGCCGGCCACAAGAUUAGAUUUCUCAGGGUCGUUGU
rnacentral:rRNA from 1 species